CAAGACACAACAACAACAAUGAACAACAUCCUCAUCCUCAUCUGGACUCUCACACUGCUUGCUCAAGAGAGUAGAGGACAGUACACUGUAACUCAGAGUCCAUCAAUAACAGCAGCUCAACCAGGACAAGAAGUCAGAAUAAACUGUAAAACCAGCAGUAAUGUCUACAGUGAUAGUUAUGGGUCACAUAUGGCCUGGUAUUUACAGAAACCUGGAGAAGCUCCUAAACUCCUCAUAUAUCUUGCAUCAACCCGUUUCACUGGAACUCCAUCUAGAUUCAGUGGCAGUGGAUCUAACAGUGAUUUCACUCUGACCAUCAGUGGAGUCCAGACUGAAGAUACAGGAGAUUAUUACUGUCUGAGUUUCCACUAUCCAAACAGUAAAGCUGUGUUCACACAGUGAUAAAGAGUCGUACAAAAACCUCCGUCAGUCAGAGUCACAGUGACUGCACUGAUACAGCUGAGAGAUACUGCAGCUGCUGAUGAACACAAUCACACACAACACUGAUCAACACAAACACUAAUUACACAAUACAAACAAAUGGUGGAGUUUAUUGUGAUACACUUUGAGGUUGACUUGAGGAAGCCCCAUUUGAUUGUGUAACAUCUUUAAGUUUAAAGGUUUUCUUGUCACACAGACAGCAAAAAGUCAGACAGG